rnacentral:piRNA from 1 species
UCACAGAAUAUUGCGAUGGAUCCUCUAGCC